CAUUUGCCAAUUACACUAAUUUGAAAGAGGUAUGGUUUGAUUUAUCUGCUACAUCCAAUUGGAGAGCCCCAGCAAAAUUGUACUGGAUUUGUGGUAAGAAGGCAUAUUCUGAGUUACCACAAGACUGGGAAGGGGCAUGUGUACUAGGUAUGCUCAAACCAUCCUUCUUCUUGUUGCCAAUUGAAACAGGAGAGACCUUGGAGUUAAGGUUUAUGAUGUGAAUUAUAAAAAGAAGCGAGCAUCUUUGAAUAUAGGUAGCUGGGAAGAUGAUG